rnacentral:rRNA from 1 species
AUUGAACGCUGGCGGCAGGCCUAACACAUGCAAGUCGAGCGGAUGAAGGGAGCUUGCUCCUGGAUUCAGCGGCGGAUGGGUGAGUAAUGCCUAGGAAUCUGCCUGGUAGUGGGGGAUAACGUCCGGAAACGGGCGCUAAUACCGCAUACGUCCUGAGGGAGAAAGUGGGGGAUCUUCGGACCUCACGCUAUCAGAUGAGCCUAGGUCGGAUUAGCUAGUUGGUGGGGUAAAGGCCUACCAAGGCGACGAUCCGUAACUGGUCUGAGAGGAUGAUCAGUCACACUGGAACUGAGACACGGUCCAGACUCCUACGGGAGGCAGCAGUGGGGAAUAUUGGACAAUGGGCGAAAGCCUGAUCCAGCCAUGCCGCGUGUGCGAAGAAGGUCUUCGGAUUGUAAAGCACUUUAAGUUGGGAGGAAGGGCAGUAAGUUAAUACCUUGCUGUUUUGACGUUACCAACAGAAUAAGCACCGGCUAACUUCGUG